rnacentral:tRNA from 2 species
GCAGAAGUAGUUCAGUGGUAGAACAUUAGCUUCCCAAGCUAAGAAUGCGGGUUCGAUUCCCGUCUUCUGCUCCA